rnacentral:rRNA from 1 species
GCUUCUUUUUCCACCGGAGCUUGCUCCACCGGAAAAAGAGGAGUGGCGAACGGGUGAGUAACACGUGGGUAACCUGCCCAUCAGAAGGGGAUAACACUUGGAAACAGGUGCUAAUACCGUAUAACAAUCGAAACCGCAUGGUUUUGAUUUGAAAGGCGCUUUCGGGUGUCGCUGAUGGAUGGACCCGCGGUGCAUUAGCUAGUUGGUGAGGUAACGGCUCACCAAGGCCACGAUGCAUAGCCGACCUGAGAGGGUGAUCGGCCACAUUGGGACUGAGACACGGCCCAACUCCUACGGGAGGCAGCAGUAGGGAAUCUUCGGCAAUGGACGAAAGUCUGACCGAGCAACGCCGCGUGAGUGAAGAAGGUUUUCGGAUCGUAAAACUCUGUUGUUAGAGAAGAACAAGGAUGAGAGUAACUGUUCAUCCCUUGACGGUAUCUAACCAGAAAGCCACGGCUAACUACGUGCCAGCAGCCGCGGUAAUACGUAGGUGGCAAGCGUUGUCCGGAUUUAUUGGGCGUAAAGCGAGCGCAGGCGGUUUCUUAAGUCUGAUGUGAAAGCCCCCGGCUCAACCGGGGAGGGUCAUUGGAAACUGGGAGACUUGAGUGCAGAAGAGGAGAGUGGAAUUCCAUGUGUAGCGGUGAAAUGCGUAGAUAUAUGGAGGAACACCAGUGGCGAAGGCGGCUCUCUGGUCUGUAACUGACGCUGAGGCUCGAAAGCGUGGGGAGCAACAGGAUAGAUACCCUGGUAGUCC